rnacentral:lncRNA from 1 species
UGUCACGCCCCGAACCCCGAGCGCGCGCACAUCCCACUGCGGUCGAUCAAAAAUGCGACAUCCCAGGAUAUGUCGCCGACCCAUUCAUUUCUUUACGCAUGCGGAAGCGAAACAAAUCCCCUGACAACAUUUAACUUGGGAUAGAAAAGCAGGCAAUCAAUCACCAUACCAAACACUCAUUUACAAACACAAAGGGUUUAAUUACAACACUGGACUUUCUACAAAAUAGACCAGCUCGACACAAGGGGGACUAUCCUACAACCAACUAGCAGGACACGUUCUCCAACCCUUAUGACUUCACCUCAGCAACUCCUCAAGGCCAAUCAAAGCUAUCUGGCCGCUCCGUCCACCAGGGACCUGAAAUGGUUAUUCAAUAACCACUGAGACCACGUCUCAGCAAGUUCAACCCCCUAAACCCCUAUUAGAAAGAAAAUACGCCCCGGGUGGCCUAGCCACAUCACACAGAAGACUUACCUCGCCUCAGCCUUCAUCUGCAGGUUAGCACAAUUUAUAUAAUCCAACCACGUACAAUUAUGAUAACCAAACAACCAUGGCACAAUCACAUUAUCAAACCAUUCAACCACUUGGAUCGUCUCAGCGAUCAAUCGACUCGGCCGAUUACAUGUCAUUCUAGCAAAUCAAUCAUUGCUCUCAAUUACGGCCCUACUCGGCAAAUUUAAAUCAGUGGCAUCACGGCCCCACUCGGCGCGACCUUUAACAGGUGGCAAUUCACGGCCCCAUUGGGCGCGACCUCUAAUAGGUGGCAUAUCACGGCCUCAUCGGGCACGACCUCUAAUAGGUGGUUCAUCACGGCCUCUCUGGGCACGACCUCUUAGAGGUGGUUUAUCACGGCCUCUCUGGGCACGACCUUUCACAGGUGGUUUAUCACGGCCUCUCUGGGCACGACCUCUUAGAGGUGGUUUAUCACGGCCUCUCUGGGCACGACCUUUCACAGGUGGUUUAUCACGGCCUCUCUGGGCACGACCUCUUAGAGGUGGUUUAUCACGGCCUCUCUGGGCACGACCUCUAAUAGGUGGUAUUUCACGGCCUCAUCGGGCACGACCUCUUGUAGGUGGUUUUUCACGGCCUCAUCGGGCACGACCUUUCCAAGGUGGUUUAUCACGGCCUCUCUGGGCACGACCUCUAAUAGGUGGUAUUUCACAGCCAAUCUCCCAUCAAUUUCUACUCUUAGGAUUUCAUAAAGAAUCCCUAUAAAUCACAAUCACACUCAAUUCAUCACAACCAAUCAUCAAUUUCAAAUUCUAAAUGCACAGCAACGAUUGGCACGAAAUUCUGAGCAAAUAAGGUCCCAAUGAAAAUUUUCGGAAUUUAAUAGAUAAUUAAAUUUAUUCCGAAAAUUAAUUAAAUAAUAAUAUCCAUAGUUUUCGAAAUCCACACUCAAUUUAUAAUAUCCAAUCAUCAAUUUCAAAAUCCGACUACACAGCAACGACCGGCACGAAAUUCUGAGAAUUUAAGGUCUCGACAAAAUUUUCGGAAUUUAAUAAAUAAUUAAAUUUAUUCCGAAAAUAAUUAAAUAAUAAUAUUUUAAUAAUUUCGAAUAAUAAUAUAUUAUUUAAUUAUUUAAUGAUUUCGGGAUAUUUAAAUAAAUCAAAAGUAAAUUCCUUUAUGUCACAUCAAUGUUUAUAUUAAUAUAAACACCCCCUUAACUUUAAAUUAAACACAACUUAAGUUAAUCAAGCACAUUAAUAUAAUCUACACUUAAAUAAAUUAAACUAACCACCUAAUAACACUUAACAUAAACUAAACACACCUAAAGCAUCAUUAACCCUCUAAGCGAGAUUUAGUGAGUUAAACUCACCGGAUUAGCGAGCCGAGCGAACCAAAACGACGAGGACGACGCGAGGAUCGACUUUCCUCAAAGCGGGCCGAGCAUCCGGGCUCGGGAAGGCGGCCAAAACGAGCCAAACAUGGGCUGCCAUACCCAUUUUCUGGGUUGCUGAUCGGGGCCGAGAGGGAGCAGAUCCGGCGUCGGUUCGGGCGGCCAAGGGCGGCGGAGGCAAGGUGAAGCUCCGGCGGCUAAGGCGGGGCCGCACGGUGGCUCACGGCGGCCGAUUCGCGGCCUUGGCUGGCCGAACAACCUCCCGGAGGCGAAGACAAGUGAGGACGACAACCGUGGCUGCUGGCGCGAGCUGGGCGGAGCGGGGCGGAGGGACCAAACGGCGGCAAGCUGCGACGGCGAGGAGCUCCGGCUGGCGGUGCACGACGGCCAUGGCUGCUCGGGCUUGCUGCUGGGCGUCCGAGGAAGAAGAAGAAAACUUCCAUGGAGGAAUCGCACGGGAGAGAGGAAGAAGAGAGAAGGAGGAGAGAGAGAGAUGGGACCAUUCCCUUUUCU